rnacentral:piRNA from 1 species
UGAAAAGAUUGACAUAGAUGCUAACUA